rnacentral:rRNA from 1 species
AAAACAAUAUGAAUAGCGGGCUGGCAUCCUUCGGGGUUACAGCCUUGCUGAAUUAUUCACCCGUGUCUUUUGCGUACUUCUUGUUUCCUUGGUGGGUUCGCCCACCAUAGGACAAACCAUAAACCUUUUGUAAUUGCAAUCAGCGUCAGAAAAAAAAAAUUAAUAAUUACAACUUUUAACAACGGAUCUCUUGGUUCUGGCAUCGAUGAAGAACGCAGCGAAAUGCGAUAAGUAGUGUGAAUUGCAGAAUUCAGUGAAUCAUCGAAUCUUUGAACGCACAUUGCGCCCUUUGGUAUUCCAAAGGGCAUGCCUGUUCGAGCGUCAUUUGUACCCUCAAGCUUUGCUUGGUGUUGGGCGUCUUGUCUCCAGUUCGCUGGAGACUCGCCUUAAAGUAAUUGGCAGCCGGCCUACUGGUUUCGGAGCGCAGCACAAGUCGCGCUCUCUUCCAGCCAAGGUCAGCAUCCACAAAGCCUUUUUUCAACUUUUGACCUCGGAUCAGGUAGGGAUACCCGCUGAACUUAAGCAUACAA